CGCUGGCGGCGUGCUUAAUACAUGCAAGUCAACUGAACUUAAGAUAGCAAUAUUUUAAGGGAGGUGGCGCACGGGUGAGUAACACGUAGGUAAUCUGCCUUUAGGUCUGACACAACCCCGAGAAAUCGGGGCUAAUAUCAGAUGAUGCAGCGGCUCGACAUCGAGACAGUUGUUAAACCUUCGGGGCCUAAAGAUGAGCCUGCGUCUGAUUAGCUGGUUGGCGGGGUAACGGCCCACCAAGGCAACGAUCAGUAGCUGGUCUGAGAGGAUGAUCAGCCACACUGGAACUGAGACACGGUCCAGACUCCUACGGGAGGCAGCAGUAAGGAAUAUUGCUCAAUGGCCGAAAGGCUGAAGCAGCAACGCCGCGUGGAGGAUGAAAUACUUUUGUAUGUAAACUCCUGUGAGAAGGGAAAAUAUGCAGAUUUUCUGCGUUGAUUGUACCUUCAGAGGAAGCCCCGGCUAACUACGUG
rnacentral:rRNA from 1 species